CCUCUCCUCCCCUCUACUCCCAUCUCUCCUCCCAUCUCCCCUUUCUCUCCCUCCACCUCUCCUCCCCUCUCCUCCCCUCUACAUCUCUCCUACCCUCUCCCCUUUCUCUCCCUCCACCUCUCCUUCCCUCUCCUUCCCUCCCAUCUACUCCAACCAAAAUACACAACCCUAUUUCCCCCAUGCCCAGGCUCUAGCCGAGGUUAAUCAAAAUCAGUCUGUUUAAGUUAGAGAUAUUCCGGGGUGGCAGGUAGCCUAGUGGUUAGAGUGUAGAGACGGCAGGUAGCCUAGUGGUUAGAGUGUAGAGGCAGUAGGUAGUCUAGUGGUUAGAGUGAAGGGGCAGUAGGUAGCCUAGUGGUUAGAGUGUAGAGGCGGCAGGUAGCCUAGUGGUUAGAGUGUAGAGGUGACAGGUAGCCUAGUGGUUAGAGUGUAGAGGCAGUAGGUAGCCUAGUGGUUAGAGUGUAGAGGCAGUAGGUAGCCUAGUGGUUAGAGUGUAGAGGUGGCAGGUAGUCUAGUGGUUAGAGUGUAGAGGAGGCAGGUAGCCUAAUGGUUAGAGUGUAGAGGAGGCAGGUAGUCUAGUGGUUAGAGUGUAGAGGUGACAGGUAGCCUAGUGGUUAGAGUGUAGAGGUGGCAGGUAGCCUAGUGGUUAGAGUGCAGAGGUGACAGGUAGCCUAGUGGUUAGAGUGUAGAGGUGGCAGGUAGCCUAGUGGUUAGAGUGUAGAGGUGGCGGGUAGCCUAGUGGUUAGAGUGUAGAGGUGGCCGGUAGCCUAGUGGUUAAAGUGUAGAGGUGGCAGGUAGCCUAGUGGUUAGAGUGUAAAGGUGGCAGGUAGCCUAGUGGUUAGAGUGUAGAGGUGGCAGGUAGCCUAGUGGUUAGAGUGUAGAGGAGGCAGGUAGCCUAGUGGUUAGAGUGUAGAGGUGGCAGGUAGCCUAGUGGUUAGAGUGUAGAGGCGGCAGGUAGCCUAGUGGUUAGAGUGUAGAGGAGGCAGGUAGCCUAGUGGUUAGAGUGUAGAGGUGACAGGUAGUCUAGUGGUUAGAGUGUAGAGGUGGCAGGUAGCCUAGUGGUUAGAGUGUAGAGGUGGCAGGUAGUCUAGUGGUUAGAGUGUAGAGGUGGCAGGUAGCCUAGUGGUUAGAGUUUAGAGGUGGCAGGUAGCCUAGUGGUUAGAGUGUAGAGGCGGCAGGUAGCCUAGUGGUUAGAGUGUAGAGGAGGCAGGUAGCCUAGUGGUUAGAGUGUAGAGGUGACAGGUAGUCUAGUGGUUAGAGUGUAGAGGCGGCAGGUAGCCUAGUGGUUAGAGUGUAGAGGAGGCAGGUAGCCUAGUGGUUAGAGUGUAGAGGUGACAGGUAGUCUAGUGGUUAGAGUGUAGAGGUGGCAGGUAGCCUAGUGGUUAGAGUGUAGAGGUGGCAGGUAGCCUAGUGGUUAGAGUGUAGAGGUGGCAGGUAGCCUAGUGGUUAGAGUGUAGGGGUGGCAGGUAGCCUAGUGGUUAGAGUGUAGAGGUGGCAGGUAGCCUAGUGGUUAGAGCGUUGGACUAGUAAUCAAAAGGUUGCUAGAUCAAUUCCUCUGAGCUGACAAGGUAAAAAUCUGUUGUUCUGCACC
rnacentral:lncRNA from 1 species